rnacentral:rRNA from 1 species
AGAGUUUGAUUCUGGCUCAGAACGAACGCUGGCGGCAGGCCUAAGACAUGCAAGUCGUACGAGAAAGCCCUUUCGGGGGUGAGUAGAGUGGCGAACGGGUUAGUAACGCGUGGGAACAUACACAGCACAGGGGGAUAACCAUUGGAAACGAUGGCUAAUACCGCAUACGCCCUAUGGGGGAAAGAUUUAUCGGUGUUGGAUUGGCCCGCGUUAGAUUAGCUAGUUGGUGGGGUAAUGGCCUACCAAGGCGACGAUUUAUAGCUGGUUUGAGAGGAUGAUCAGCAACACUGGAACUGAGACACGGUCCAGACUCCUACGGGAGGCAGCAGCCGGGAAUAUUGUGCAAUGGGGGCAACCCUGACACAGCCAUGCCGCGUGAGUGAAGAAGGCCUUAGGGUUGUAAAGCUCUUUCAGAUGUGAGGAUGAUGACGAUAGCAUCACAAGAAGCUCCGGCUAACUUCGUGCCAGCAGCCGCGGUAAUACGAAGGGAGCAAGCGUUGUUCGGAAUUACUGGGCGUAAAGGGCGUGUAGGCGGAUUAUCAAGUUAGGGGUGAAAUCCCGGGGCUCAACCUCGGCACUGCCUUUAAGACUGAUAAUCUAGAGUAUGUGAGGGGAUAAUGGAAUACCUAGUGUAGAGGUGAAAUUCGUAGAUAUUAGGUGGAACACCAGUGGCGAAGGCGAUUAUCUGGCACAUUACUGACGCUGAGGCGCGAAAGCGUGGGGAGCAAACGGGAUUAGAUACCCCGGUAGUCCACGCCGUAAACGAUGUAUACUAGUUGUCGGGCAUUGGUUCGGUGACGCAGCUAACGCAUUAAGUAUACCGCCUGGGGAGUACGGUCGCAAGAUUAAAACUCAAAGAAAUUGACGGGGACCCGCACAAGCGGUGGAGCAUGUGGUUUAAUUCGAAGCAACGCGAAGAACCUUACCCACCUUUGACAUGGUAGUUUGGGGUAUUGGAGACAAUAUCUUUCAGUUCGGCUGGGCUACACACAGGUGCUGCAUGGCUGUCGUCAGCUCGUGUCGUGAGAUGUUGGGUUAAGUCCCGCAACGAGCGCAACCCU